rnacentral:rRNA from 1 species
GAACGAGGAUAUAUCCUUCGGGAUAUAAGCCGAGUGGCACAAGGGUGAGCAAUGCAUAGAUUACCUACCUUUAGGAUAAGGGCAACUUUGUGAAAACGGAGCUAAUACUUAAUAAUACAAAAGAAAAUAAUUUUCUUUUGUCAAAGGGAGGGUAGCAAUACCUUUCGCCUAGAGAGGGGUUUAUGUCCUAUCAGCUUGUUGGUGGGGUAAUAGCCUACCAAGGCGAAGACGGGUAGCCGGUUUAAGAGGAUGGUCGGCCACACUGGGACUGAGACACUGCCCAGACUUCUACGGAAGGCUGCAGUCGAGAAUCUUUCGCAAUGCCCGAAAGGGUGACGAAGCGACGCCGCGUGGGUGAAGAAGGCCUUCGGGUUGUAAAGCCCUGUCAGGAGUUAUGAAAUGUAAGUGCGCUAAUAUCGUGCUUAUUUGACAAAGGCUCCAAAGGAAGCCACGGCUAACUCUGUGCCAGCAGCCGCGGUAAUACAGAGGUGGCGAGCGUUGUUCGGAAUUAUUGGGCGUAAAGAGCACGUAGGUGGGUUUGCAAGUCAGAUGUGAAAGCCUUCUGUUCAACGGAAGAAUUGCAUCUGAAACUGCUAAUCUUGAGUAUAGGAGGGGAGAAUGGAACUUCUGGUGGAGCGGUGAAAUGCGUAGAUAUCAGAAGGAACGCCGGCGGCGAAAGCGAUUCUCUGGCCUAUUACUGACACUCAGUGUGCGAAAGCUAGGGGAGCAAACGGGAUUAGAUACCCCGGUAGUCCUAGCCGUAAACGAUGGGCACUAAGUAGAGGGAAUUACCUAUAUUCUCUCUGCCGUAGCUAACGCAUUAAGUGCCCCGCCUGGGGAGUACGGCCGCAAGGCUAAAACUCAAAAGAAUUGACGGGGGCUCGCACAAGCGGUGGAGCAUGUGGCUUAAUUCGAUGCAACGCGAAAAACCUUACCGGGGCUUGACAUGAUAGAAGUAGGAACCUGAAAGGGGGACGAACGGUAUCCAGUCCGUAGCUAUCACAGGUGUUGCAUGGCUGUCGUCAGCUCGUGUCGUGAGACGUUGGGUUAAGUCCCCUAACGAGCGAAACCCUUGUUUUUAGUUACCAGCGGGUUAUGCCGGGUACUCUAGAAAGACUGCCGUCGUCAAGACGGAGGAAGGUGGGGAUGACGUCAAGUCAUCAUGGCCCUUAUGCCCCGGGCUGCACACGUGCUACAAUGGUCGGUACGGACGGAAGCGAAGCCGAGAGGUGAAGCGAAUCCUAAAAAGCCGAUCUCAGUUCGGAUUGGAGGCUGAAAUUCGCCUCCAUGAAGUUGGAAUCGCUAGUAAUCGCGGAUCAGCAAUGUCGCGGUGAAUAUGUUCCCGAGCCUUGUACACACCGCCCGUCAAGCCACCCAAGCAGGAUGCACCCGAAAACAUUAUAUCUAACCAGGGCAACUUGGAGGAAAAUGUUGAAGGAGUGUUUUGUGAGGAGGACU